AUUGAACGCUGGCGGAAUGCUUUACACAUGCAAGUCGAACGGCAGCACGGACUUCGGUCUGGUGGCGAGUGGCGAACGGGUGAGUAAUACAUCGGAACGUGCCCAGUCGUGGGGGAUAACGUAGCGAAAGCUACGCUAAUACCGCAUACGAUCUAAGGAUGAAAGCGGGGGAUCGCAAGACCUCGCGCGAUUGGAGCGGCCGAUGGCAGAGUAGGUAGUUGGUGGGGUAAAGGCUCACCAAGCCGACGAUCUGUAGCUGUGCUGAGAGGACGACCAGCCACACUGGGACUGGGACACGGCCCAGACUCCUACGGGAGGCAGCAGUGGGGAAUUUUGGACAAUGGGCGCAAGCCUGAUCCAGCCAUUCCGCGUGCAGGAUGAAGGCCCUCGGGUUGUAAACUGCUUUUGUACGGAACGAAAAGGCUCUGGUUAAUACCCGGGGCUCAUGACGGUACCGUAAGAAUAAGCACCGGCUAACUACGUGCCAGCCGCCGCUGUAA
rnacentral:rRNA from 1 species